rnacentral:rRNA from 1 species
UACGAAGGGGGCUAGCGUUGCUCGGAAUCACUGGGCGUAAAGGGCGCGUAGGCGGCCGGUAUUGAAGUCGGGGUGAAAGCCUGUGGCUCAACCACAGAAUUGCCUUCGAUACUGGUUGGCUUGAGACCGGAAGAGGACAGCGGAACUGCGAGUGUAGAGGUGAAAUUCGUAGAUAUUCGCAAGAACACCAGUGGCGAAGGCGGCUGUCUGGUCCGGUUCUGACGCUGAGGCGCGAAAGCGUGGGGAGCAAACAGG